rnacentral:lncRNA from 1 species
AAGACAGCAUAGGCCUACGUAAUAUUAAUUAUUUUAUAAUUAAUUAUAUUAAGCGCAAUAUGGCGAGAUAUUAUUCAGGCGCAUGAAAUAAUACCAUCAUCUCAAUUAGAUCUGUUGCUCAGCAACGCGACCUUAAAUCGGUGGGCGUGGCUUUGCGUAUAAAAGCCUGCGCCGAUUGGCCAAAUCCAUAGGUGUGUGAGGAGGUGUGCGCUGUCGCCUGCGGAACGAGCGCGCUCGAGUUCUGUCAGAGCGGUCUGACAGCAGUGGUUGCGGUGAAUUUUAAAUAGGACGUUUAAGGAGUACUACAGCCUCUCGCACCACCGAGCUGAGUGUUGGCAGUGUCACAGAGCCCGUGUGUUUUAUUCCUGCCUGCAUGGCGGCCUGGGAUUGGGAGCUCGCUGCGGCGUCCGUUUGUUGGUGUAACGCCAGCCAAACUCCUGAACGGAGAGAAGCAGGCAUGCAGGGUGUGUGUGUGUGGAUUCGGUACGUUUCGGCCCGUAGGGAAGGUAGGGAUAUAUAAACAUACACAGUACACACACAUAAAAUAUGUAUUUUAAUUUCGGAAGCUAUUAAUCGCGAUUAAUUGAUUUUACAGCCCUACUCCAGAGUCUAUUAUACGACAGAUACAUAUUCAACAUUCAAUCCUCUGAUUGGUGGAGAAUUGUGGGUAAUGUAGUUUUUCACUGGGAAUUCUGCUGUUGAGUGUAAUUAUUAAACAAUAAGUUGAAAUAAUGCUCACUGGUGGCUUUUACAAUAGCAUUUUCCAUCGAUUAACUACCUCAUGUCUCACAGUAGCUCUGUUUUUCAAAGGCUUACACCUGCUUCAAUUGCCCCAUGUUUGCAUUUCAUAGUCCGUAUGAAGCCGCCUGCCUUGACUUAAUGCUGAGCUGUCCCUCUGCAGGCUGAAUGUGCUAAACAGACCGGAUGUUUCCUGGGCUUGUGGACGAGACAUUCCUGUCCUAUUGUUGAAAUCCUAGCGGUUUUAAUUAUAAAUGCAUCCAUCCAGACAUUAAGGUUCUCUUAUCUGAUGUGUUCAGCUCGCUGCGGCGUCCGUUUGUUGGUGUAACGCCAGCCAAACUCCUGAACGGAGAGAAGCAGGCAUGCAGGGUGGUGUGUGUGUGGGAUUCGGGACUUUUGGGCCCUGGAAGAGGUGCAUGUAUUAUUGGCAGCUGGUAGAGCAGAACGGUGAAUCGUGAUCUGGUAAGCACUGAUUUCAUUCUGCUUUGCGCUGCACUUAGGUGUUGAUUCGAACCUGGUUUGUAAUUGUUCUGUUCGCUUUAAGCGAAGGCCUCACAGCCAUUGUGAAAAGUGAAGUAGUUUUCUUUUGUGCAAGAAUAUGUUUUGACACAAAGUGUUUUUGUGCUGCUUUGUUGUACCUAUAUUUGAAUCAGUGGCAAUUGAGAGGAAUUUUAAACUUUUAGUUUAAAAGACGUUUUUAUUAUUUACGUUUUGAAAAACUUUUUAGCAUUUUUAAGAAAAGUAAUUCCCUUAUACUUUUUAUGCAUGCAAGUGUUUACAUUUGGAUUCGUUAUUUUCAAAAAGGUUUUUAAAAUAUUUUUUUCGGUAAAUUAUUAUUGUUAUUAAUUCAUUAACAUAAUUACGUUUUUGUAGAGUUUACAUUGUUUACCAUGUUACAUUUUAUAACCUGAACAGACUUUGUCAGAUUGUCAUUUUAAGAGACUUGUUGACCUUGACACUCAAUCAUGAGGGUCUUCAGGGGUCCUUUCUGAAUGAUCAUUUAUUGUCCGCAUUUUUUGUCGGUUGCAUCAUUAAACUUUAAUUUAGAGACAAAAUUAUAAUUACAAAACAUUCUGAGAAAUUCUAAGAAAUAAUACUUUAAUAAUAAUAAAUAAACAAUAAUUAUUAUUAUUUAAUAAAUAAAUAAUUAAUUAUUUAAUUAGUAAUAAAUAAUGUCAAAUUAGAAUUUCUUCAUGAUGUCAGGACAAGUUGUAAAUAUACUUUUUACCCACACAAAUAUUAAAAUGAAUUUUAAUUCAGAAAUUAAAAGCAUGCUUAUCAAAAGAAAAUGUGUAUUUAAGAUGAACUUUAAUGCAUUUUGAGUAAUCAGUAGAUCCAUAAAAAAAAGUCAUGUCAUUGACCUUUCACCAACAGUGAGCAAAUAGACUUGUCUUUAUUUUUGCCAACUAUUCUUGACCCACAUCCAAACUGGACAGAUUUAUCCGUUGCACAUGCUGCUUGGAAGACGUGCAUUUCAUCAUGCACUGAAUCAAUAUUUCUUUCAAAAACAAACUCACACAUGGUCUGUGGUCACAGAUUAAUCUUUAUACUUCAGUUCUGUUGUUUCUAUCCGGUGGGUAGAGAUUCUGCUUGGUCAUUGGUAGUUGGCUGAUGCAGUGGAAAUUUCUACACAGAUGUGUUUGCUUUACAUCUGUUGCCUUAUGCAGUUUCGCAGCGAGGCCAAGGCUGGUUCUGAAGUAAUGAUGGGGGACACAUGAUCAGUAUGGCCUGUCUGUAAAACACUACUAAGUUUUUUGGAUAGGAUUAAGUAUGUUGACAUUCA